rnacentral:rRNA from 1 species
UGGGGAAUUUUGGACAAUGGGCGCAAGCCUGAUCCAGCAAUGCCGCGUGCAGGAUGAAUGCCUUCGGGUUGUAAACUGCUUUUGUACGGAGCGAAAAGGUCUGCCCUAAUACGGUGGGCUCAUGACGGUACCGUAAGAAUAAGCACCGGCUAACUACGUGCCAGCAGCCGCGGUAAUACGUAGGGUGCGAGCGUUAAUCGGAAUUACUGGGCGUAAAGCGUGCGCAGGCGGUUAUAUAAGACAGAGGUGAAAUCCCCGGGCUCAACCUGGGAACUGCCUUUGUGACUGCAUAGCUAGAGUGCGGUAGAGGGGGAUGGAAUUCCGCGUGUAGCAGUGAAAUGCGUAGAUAUGCGGAGGAACACCGAUGGCGAAGGCAAUCCCCUGGACCUGUACUGACGCUCAUGCACGAAAGCGUGGGGAGCAAACA